rnacentral:rRNA from 1 species
UACGAAGGUCCCAAGCGUUAUCCGGAUUUAUUGGGUUUAAAGGGUGCGUAGGCGGGCUAUUAAGUCAGUGGUGAAAUCUCCGAGCCUAACUCGGAAAUUGCCAUUGAUACUGAUGGUCUUGAGUACAUUUGAAGUGGGCGGAAUGUGUCAUGUAGCGGUGAAAUGCUUAGAUAUGACACAGAACACCGAUUGCGUAGGCAGCUCACUAAACUGUAACUGACGCUGAGGCACGAAAGCGUGGGGAGCAAACGGG